GGUCGCCGGACCGUCAGGAUUGACUCAAGAAUGAGAGAGUGCUGGCCACGGCUCGUCCACUUCGUACAAGAGAUAGACCAACCAGAGUCACUAUUCUUGCCACUUAGAUCGGACGUGGCCAAAUUCCCCUAUUCUGCGAAACGCGCAUCCCGGCGUCCAAUCACUCGCAGCACACCGGUCAUCUCCCCAACCGCCAUAGCCAUUGCUGAAACACCACCGUCGUUUACAGUGGAGGAAGAGGUGCCUCUCGCUAUCUCGCUGGUAUCAAGUUUCCCUCCAUCCGAGUGCUUGUCGAAUUCCGAACACUUGAAUUGCUCGAUCGAGUCAAUAUAAACGAAUCUCGCUAUGUCGAUUUUGUAUCUCCUGAUUUCUAGGGUUUUUUCUGUUUUUCUCGUCUGCUCGGUCUUCCUCAGCUGCUUUCCAGGAUUGGUGUUGCCGGCAAUUGUUACACUUGAAUCCCUGGAGAUAUAUAAUACCCACCAGUGGCUGCCAAACACAAAACCAGUAGUCUAUUUCCAGUGUAAAGGGGAGAACAAGACGGUGUUACCCGAUGUGAAAGAAGACCAUGUCUUCUACAAUUUCAAGGGUGAAGAGUCUUGGCAGCCCCUGACAGAACUUCCAAGUAAAAGGUGCAAGCGAUGUGGGUUUUAUGAAGAGAAUAGUUUCGUGUCAGAUGAUGUCUAUGAAGAGUGGGAGUUUUGUCAUAGUGAUUUUACCGAGCCUGAUGGGAAAUAUAUACGGUUCAAGGAGAAGGAAUUUAAUGCUACUUUUUUAUGUUCGAAGUGUGUUCCUUCAGCCAAUGCUUCCAAUUCUGCAUCUUGCUCACAAGAUUGGAGGAAAAGGAAUUGCACGCUGCUCUAAUCAUUUGUGUUUUCAGAAUCACUUGUUUAUAUCCGAUUAGGACUAUUCAUCCGGGCCGAGUUUUUUGUUCGGGUUUACAAUCCGGAAGAGCCUCUCUGGAUGCAAUGGCCGGGGAUUGUCAGGUUUCCUUCCACCCUCAUGUCUCGCACAGAUUAAAAAACUUCCAAUUCUGCAUCUAGCUCUCAAGAUAGAGGAAAGGGAAUGCAUGCUGCUCUAAUCAUAUUGAUUAGUGUUGUGGUUUCAACCGUAUUGGUUCUUGGAGUGGUAGCUGUAUAUAAAUACUGGCAAAAGAAGAAGAGGGAACAAGAUCAAGCUCGGUUUCUGAAGUUGUUUGAAGAUGGGGAUGACAUUGAGGAUGAACUGGGUCUAGGCAAUGUAAUAUGAAGAAUGAAAUAUCACCUGGUUACCUUUUGUACAGAGAAUUGAUCUUAGAAAAGUACUGUUUGUCGAAAGAAAAAACUUAAAAUUUUGAACUUAUCGUGCAAUGGUGUACAUGCGAGAAGUAGUCAUCAUAAAGUGAAGUUGUGUCCCAUUGAUGCAUUCCUAUAUGCAUCCUUGGCCAAAUUGCUAUGUGUAACUUAACUUUGUAAAAUUAUACUGUUCUCCUAAGAUGGAAUAAUGGUUAGUGAGAA